UACGUAGGGCGCAAGCGUUGUCCGGAAUUAUUGGGCGUAAAGAGCUCGUAGGCGGUUUGUCGCGUCUGCUGUGAAAACUGGGGGGCUCAACCCCCCAGCCUGCAGUGGGUACGGGCAGACUAGAGUGCGGUAGGGGAGAUUGGAAUUCCUGGUGUAGCGGUGAAAUGCGCAGAUAUCAGGAGGAACACCGGUGGCGAAGGCGGGACUCUGGGCCGAUACUGACGCUGAGGAGCGAAAGCGUGGGUAGCAAACAGG
rnacentral:rRNA from 1 species